AUGGCUGUCGUCAGCUCGUGUCGUGAGAUGUUGGGUUAAGUCCCGCAACGAGCGCAACCCCCGUCGCAUGUUGCCAGCAUUCAGUUGGGGACUCAUGCGAGACUGCCGGUGACAAACCGGAGGAAGGUGGGGAUGACGUCAAGUCAUCAUGCCCCUUAUGUCCAGGGCUACACACGUGCUACAUUGGCGCAUACAGAGGGCUGCGAUACCGCGAGGUGGAGCGAAUCCCUUAAAGUGCGUCUCGGUUCGGAUUGCAGGCUGAAACUCGCCUGCAUGAAGGCGGAGUUGCUAGUAAUCGCGGAUCAGCACUGCCGCGGUGAAUACGUUCCCGGGCCUUGUACACACCGCCCGUCACACCACGGGAGUGAGCAACACCCGAAGCCGGUGGUCUAACCCGCAAGGGAGGAAGCCGUCGAAGGUGGGGCUCGUGACUGGGGUGAAGUCGUAACAAGGUAGCCGUAGCGGAAGCUGCGGCUGGAUCACCUCCUUUCUAGGGAGCACCAAUGGUGCCCCGAGCGCAACGGCCGUCAGGUCCCUGGCUCCUUGAGAGCUUUGAGAUCCUGUCGGUGACUGUACGUUCGGGCCUAGCAUGUCGACCGAACCUGGCUGGAUGGGCGCGCAGCGCGAGGACUCCUGACUACUUGGAGACCGAACGAGGUUAGUCCGCAACGAUGCCAGCAUGCUGUUGAGUUUUGAGAGACCGGCGUCCGUCGGUGGUGGGGCAGAAGCGAUCGAGAUCGCCUCCGCACAUACCCAACAACGGCCGGCGUUAUACGCCUCUCGACGGUCCUUGAAAACUGCACAGAAGCCACAUCAGCCGCCAUCGAUAAGCGGCGGCUGAAAAACGGGUAUCACCGGACCGAUGGAGCCCACAUCCCCGCAAAGGGAUGUGAUCGAAGUCGGUCAGAUCACCGUCAAGAUAGUAAGGGCGCAUGGUGGAUGCCUUGGCACCAAGAGUCGAUGAAGGGCGUGAAUGGCUGCGAUAAGCCACGGUUAGGCGCUGAAUGGCCUAUGACCCGUGGAUUCCCGAAUGGGGAAACCCGG
rnacentral:sRNA from 1 species